AUGUUCAUGGCCUACUGCAUGAUCUUCACCAUGACGCUCCAUCCGGGCCCGAGCUGGCGAACCAUGCUGGGCGUGCUAGCCGGGCCCUCUCUGAUCUACCUCGCGCUGACGGUGUUCUACCUGCCGGAGUCGCCGCGCUGGCUGGUGAGCAAGGGGAGGAUGAAGAAGGCGAGGGUGGUGUUGGAGAAGCUAAGGGGCAGGGAGGACGUGUCCGGCGAGAUGGCACUGCUGGUGGAGGGGCUGGGGAGCACCGGCGAGACGGAGAUCGAGGAGUACGUCGUCCGCCCGGCCGACGGUGACCAGGAGCAGAGGGACACGGUGACGUUGUACGGGCCCGAGCAGGGGCUGUCGUGGGUGGUGCAGCCCGUCGCCGGCGGGAGGGGCAGCAUGCUGGGGAGCGCGCUGGGGCUCGGUGGCACGGGGAGGCAGGGGAGCAUGUUCGACUCCAUGAGGGACCCCGUGGUGGCGCUCCUCGGGAGUGUGCACGAGCGCCUCCCCGAAGACGGCGGCGCCGGGAGCAUGAGGGGGAGCACACUGUUCCCCAACCUCGGGAGCAUGCUCAGCGUUGAGAGGCCUGGCGGCGCCGCAUCCGGCGCCCCCGGCGGCAGCGGCAAUGAUGAUGGUUCACUACGAGCAUUUCUCAAGCGUCAGGCCAAGAAGUUAAGGCGGUUAUCGAAUCUUCUCGGUUGCCGCGAUCCCGAAUUUGAUGAACCAUCUGCCUCUACGACUGGUACACCAUCAGACCCCUCAUCUCACCAUCAGAGGGACGAUGUGAGUUCCUCAUAUGCUUAUCAGGAUGAUGAGGGUGCGGUCACCCAAGAGGGCGAUGAGCUUGAUGAUGACAUGACUUUGGCGGACGCUCAGCUUCGGUCCCCAUAUGUGUUCAAGCCUAGGCAGUCCAGACGCCGGGUGGUCGUAGGGACCUCGCGGAUGGCUAGCUUGGAUCAUGAGGCGGAGGCGGAGGCGGAGGCGGAGGAGGAAGUGCAGGAAGAGGAGGCUCGUCCACCCAGGAAGAAGAAGAUUGCCUGCAGGCGUGGCACCAGGAACACGCGCGGAAGGCAUUAG
rnacentral:rRNA from 1 species